rnacentral:misc_RNA from 1 species
UGAGGUGCUGCUGGGCACUGCG